rnacentral:rRNA from 1 species
CCAGACUCCUACGGGAGGCAGCAGUGGGGAAUAUUGCACAAUGGGGGGAACCCUGAUGCAGCGACGCCGCGUGGGUGAAGGAGCACCUCGGUGCGUAAAGCCCUAUCGGCAGGGAAGAAACAGACGGUACCUGACUAAGAAGCCCCGGCUAACUACGUGCCAGCAGCCGCGGUAAUACGGAGGGGGCAAGCGUUAUCCGGAUUCACUGGGUGUAAAGGGAGCGUAGACGGCGACGCAAGUCUGGAGUGAAAGCCCGGGGCCCAACCCCGGGACUGCUUUGGAAACUGUUUGACUGGAGUGCGGGAGAGGUAAGUGGAAUUCCUAGUGUAGCGGUGAAAUGCGUAGAUAUUAGGAGGAACACCAGUGGCGAAGGCGGCUUACUGGACUGUAACUGACGUUGAGGCUCGAAAGCGUGGGGAGCAAACAGGAUUAGAUACCCCUGUAUAA